CUCGCGUCUCGUCCUCUUCUCUUCCUCCGCUCUCUCUCGUUUCCCACCGACUUAGGGUUCCGGAUCUAGGGUUUAUUCGCCUUUGUACUUCUCGUUCCGAGACCCUCGAGCGCCCCUUGUUCCUCGACGGAUCCCCUUCGUCCCUCCGGGACCCUCUCGGAAUGAUCCGCCGCCAUCAGAACAGUAUGAUGAGGAUUGUGAUACACUGACUGUUUGGCUAAAGCAAGGUUCAGAUCUUUCAGCAUUUGUGCAUUGUGCUUCAGAGGACCAUAUGAAGGCAUUAUUUGACCUGGUUAAGCAAUUCCUUACCAUUUUGUUCUUAUCAUUGCAUAAACCAUGGUUUCAUUUCCUUGAAUCCAUUCUUUGCAGAUUAUUUUGUUUCAGUUAACUGUUUCCUUAUAAUAGCAAAGAGAAGGUAGUCUGUGUUUUGUCAAUUUCUGCCUGAGGAUUUAGGUUUGAAGGAAUAUUCUGUUUUAUCAACUGCAAAUACAUAAUAGACUAAUAGAGUUGAACAUUAAGUUUCUGAACGCUUUGAUAUUUUUUCCUCAUAAAGAUUUACUGGUAGGUGAUCGAUGAUGCAGCACUAUAUCUUGAUUCUUUUAAGCAAAGAGAAAGGUCUUAGGUUUUGGAUAUGUUGUUUAUAUUCAGUGUAUGUGCUGAAAGAAUGGAGUAUGCAGCACUCUUAAUUAACUUAUGUGCAUCUUUUAUGUAAACAUAAAUAUGUAAACAAAGGAGGUGAUUGUGAAAUUUGACCUAGUCGUUUGUGGAGAAACCACCAUAACAAAUUGGCCCCCUUGAUGAAGCCAAAAAUAAAUAAAUAAAUAAAAGAAAAUCCCAAAAAACAAAGACUAGUCUCAACUCUACUCGCUCAUUUGAAAUGCCCACAACAGAAUCAAUUGACCUUUUCUUUAUUAAGAUAUCCUUGUCGGAAACUUUAUAAGUUCAUCAAAAGAUUUCUCUUGUUUCCCUAUCAAAACGAGCCAAGUCUGCAAAUAGUAGCUCUAAUAACAAAUUUUCCACUUUUCAGUCAGCUUCUUCUGGGUCCUGUGUGUGUAACUAUAUGCAUCCAUGUGUGCACCUAUGCGCAUGGUUUCUUUGUAUCUUUCUAGGCCACUUCAUUAUACUCAUGUGAUGCUGUCUUGAUUGCAGUUAAUAUAGUCAUAUAUGACAAAACUGGUAUAUUGUAUAUUUUAUUGCAUCCAGAUCAAGCUUCAUGUUUCUAAACUGUUGUUUUGUCAAUUGGUUUGGGAGUUGGAAAUAUUCCUUUGACGUCUAUGGGGUGAGAUUAGGACGCCAAUUAUAAUUUGUUAUUGGUUUUUCAGCUGGUUUCAGAGGAAAAGGGAAAAUAGAUGGUCUUCCUCUGGUCAGAAAUGUCCAUUAAACAUGAUCUCUUGAUUCUGAGUUCUUAAUAUCUAGUUUUUGAUCUUGCAGCUGGAGAUUUUGAAGGAUCUUGAAGUUGUUGUGGUUAAAGGAACUGUAGAGUGUGAGGCUUCUAUUUUACUAAGAUCAGUGUUUAUUACAAGAUUGUGAGUGAUCAUGUAAUUAGUUUGAAUAUUCCUAUAAUCAUCUGAUUACUUCUACCACAGUGCAAAUAAAGGCUAAUGUUCCUCUUUCUUUGCAAGAUGAAUAUAAAAGAUUUGCAACCAUGUACACAGCCUACCUUAUUCUGAACUCCUAUAGUAUUUCAUGAUCAUUUUUUGGCUGGAUGCUCCCUCAUAUUUCCUUCUUUCACAAAAUGAAAACAUCAUUUAAUGGUUCAAGAGUAUUUGAUGAAUUCGUCAUAUACUAUACAGUCACAUGUAAGGAAGCUGCUUAGGUUGCAUAGCUGAUUCUUGUUGCUCAAACAAUGGUGUAACAACAUAUGCAAUAACCAUAAUAUGUAGCAUGGACAAAUGCCAACGUUUUAGUUUAAUCAGUAUGAGUUUGUGACUGCUUAUUCUAUUUCUACUGACAAUUUGAAGGAGAUAUCUUCAUAAAAGACCAGUAGAUAUCUUGAGGCUUUUAUGAAAAAGAAUGUCCACGAGCCAUACUUCGAAGCAUUUUUCAGUAAAAAUAUGCUGAUCAUUUGCUUUGAUAAUUAAGGUGCUCUAGUAACUUGAAUUGUCCACAUAACAAUAUCAGUUUGAUACUUGCCAGUGCAAUGGAAAGCAUUGUUUUCUGUUAUGCAUAAAAAAUACCUCAAAAAAAAAAAAAGACAGUAGAUAGCCAUUGAAAAAUCUUUAUAUUUAAUUUAGUUUCUUUUCUCAUUGUUUGAAACUUGCAUUGACAUCAGAGCCCAUCAGUUUUUUUGCAUUCUGUUAUUAAUGCUUAACCAGAAAAUGAUUAGUAUAUUUCUAAAUCGUAUCAUCAAACUCUUUCUUCGAUAAAUUAUGCCUGGGCAUCCUUCUUUUAUAUUGGUACUGUCAAUUUUCCCACCUUAAGGAUAUUUCUUGGAUUUGAAGUUACAUGGUCUCAAUGUAACUGGUAGGCCAUGCAAAGUUGAGUAUCUUGGUGAGCUCAUUAAGAACAAGAUGGCCUCCACUGAUGUUGUACAGAAGUAUCCAAAAGUAUCUGGUGAGCAAAUGGGAACUGCAGAGGAUAUUGGAAACAAGAAGGUUAAAUUCUGCCACGGCUGAUAUUUCCUUAACUGUAUAUUGUGACACGCCAAUCUAUUCAGGCCUGAACUAUUCCGGGUUGCAAGUUCCAGGCAUCAUAACCAAUUAUCACCAUUAUCGUGAAAUUAUUAGGACAUCUGACUAUAGUCUCAGUUUCCAACAAAACAAAAAAAAAAGAUAUAUUAUUUUUCAUUUACCUUGAAAACUUAUUCAUGUAUGAAAAGAUGAAAAACUUAUUACAACAUUUUUAUAAUACAUUCAUUAGAAGUCCAUACUUGAAUAUACUUGUAGUUACUUCAUUGGCUUCUCCUUAAAUUCUAGCGUGAACCAGGUUGUUUCUAAAGUGUACUAAUAUAUUUCUGGCUGCCAGGUUCACAAGUUGGAGGUUUAGGUUCCCUAUCAUGCACCGUUAGCAUAUUGUAUUUCAAAUGAAGUCUUUAUCUCAUGUCUCUGGCUACCCUUCAAAAUUUAGCAUGUUUUCGGUAGGUUGCAUCACUUUGGAAUGGGCUGAGACUACUGAGUUUAUAUUAUUAUUUACAGCUCUAUGCCGAUUCUGCAACAUCUUUGCGUUUUGUCUACAAUGGACCAAGGACAAGGUGUGCUGCUUUCCUUUCGUUAUCUUUAUCGUUAAAUUUUUGUUUAUCAUUAUUCUGUCAGCGCCUAGUGGUUCAUAUUACCAAUAAAUGUGUGGUGAAUUUUCUUUGCUCUUGAAAGUGUCAAAGAUCAGUUUCAAAGCGUAGGAUCAAUUCUCAGUCUGAUAUGCCAUAUUCUCUAAGAAAAAUAAAAGACCUAACAUUUCAUUUUAGACUACAUCUUCAUGUCCGGUUAUUUCCUCUAUGAUAGUGCUUUCAGGAUACCAUGUAGCUCUCAUUUUUUAGAUAAGAUAUACUCUCGUUAGUUCUCCUACAAGCGAUCACCACACAGUUGAUGUCAGAUAUCCAGGCGACUAAACCUCUCCUCUGUUAUAGUGUUGUAACCUUUGGCCACUGUUUAGGUCCAAGAAAAAGCAUUGUAAACAAAAGCACAUAACCUGCUAUGUGUAAUAUUCUGAUCAAACUCCAAGGAAGAAAAGGAAUAAUAAUGUGUGUGCUUCCUGUUGCUUCUGCAUUUCUCUGUACCUGUGAUUAUAUUUUUUUGUCGUUGUGUUGGUGUCAUUUCUUAACAUUUGGGGAUUGAUCAUAUAAGAUGCAGUUCUACUUGGUUACCUCCAAUUAUGAAAUAUGCAACCCUUUUGUGAGCUGAUUAGCAUGAAAUUCUACUCCAUUAGAGAUUCAUUUUACUUGGAUAUUCUAAUCAUGAAAUAUUCAGUCUUUUUUUGUUUGCUAAUAAAAUGGAAUUCUGCUCUAUUAGAGUUAGUAGUAAAACAGCCAAUUGCCUAGUCAUAUUCUCAAGAGUCAAAGAGUCCCCACUCGUAAACUGCAGCAUGAUAUAUGGGAAUCAGUUCUGUAGAUUAGAUAUCGUGCACAAUAUGUAACCAUAAUGUGUGCAAAAUAUGUUUGCCUAUCACUUGCGGCUAUUCUCAGGGUUCUCCAUUUUAACGAUGUUAAUGUCAACAGCGUGAUGCUCAUAGAGACGGCCCAUAAUCCGGCGGUGCCUUGUGAAAUAAUCAAGGUUCUUUCAGAGUUAAAC